AUCUAUGUUCUUUUACACAUAGAAAAGUAGCUUUGGAAUUUAUUACCCAUGUUCUUUUAUAUUACUAUUUUCCUAGAUAAGUUGAUAAAAUUUAUUCAUAUUUUUCAUGAUAUCCCUUAUGCUUUUUAGAUUUGACUAAGUUAUUAAGUAUUGAAUGAUGGAAACGUUGAAAAUGAGAAUGGGCAUGUUAAAUGCAGCAUUAAAUGCCUAUUUUACUAGC
rnacentral:lncRNA from 1 species